AGCGAACGCUGGCGGCAGGCUUAACACAUGCAAGUCGAACGGGCGUAGCAAUACGUCAGUGGCAGACGGGUGAGUAACGCGUGGGAACGUACCUUUUGGUUCGGAACAACACAGGGAAACUUGUGCUAAUACCGGAUAAGCCCUUACGGGGAAAGAUUUAUCGCCGAAAGAUCGGCCCGCGUCUGAUUAGCUAGUUGGUGAGGUAACGGCUCACCAAGGCGACGAUCAGUAGCUGGUCUGAGAGGAUGAUCAGCCACAUUGGGACUGAGACACGGCCCAAACUCCUACGGGAGGCAGCAGUGGGGAAUAUUGGACAAUGGGCGCAAGCCUGAUCCAGCCAUGCCGCGUGAGUGAUGAAGGCCCUAGGGUUGUAAAGUUCUUUCGGCCGGGAAGAAAUCGUAUGGGUUAAUACCCUGUGCGGAUGACGGUACCGGCAUAAGAAGCACCGGCUAACUACGUG
rnacentral:rRNA from 1 species